rnacentral:lncRNA from 1 species
GAUCUCCACGCUGCAGCCCGUGGAGGAGCCCCCGGUGGAGCAGGUGGAUGUGGCCUGGAGGAGGCUGCGGCCCAUGGAGAGCCCCCGCAGGAGCAGGCCUGGUGGUGAUUAUUCAUCAGCAGACUGAUGAACCAUCUUUUAAGUGAAAACAAAUGAAUUUGAUAUUAACAUUGUGCAUGCUGAAUGGUUAACAGAAGUUGAACGGUUCUGAAAUAAAUGUCUUGGAGACCUGUAGAAACACAAAGAAGGCUGGAAGAGACACUGCCAUCUAGCGGGUAUUCAAUUAUACUUUUUUCAGCAAUAACAUGUUAACUAUUAGCAACGUCUUAGAAACAAAGCACUACAAAGCAAAAUAAAGCCCAACAUAUGCAUGAACUCAGCAAAGGGAACAAAGGAGGAAUUCAGAGACAACUGGAAGAUGAAAGUGAUACGAAGGAAUUCUCUGUAGCAGAGAGUAAGUCUGGUAAAGGAACCUCCCUGAAGACAUCUGUCAUGAGAACACUGGUGGAAAAAAAAAAAAAACAAACACCACUCAGAUCAUUUUGCUUUUCUACAAUAUGUUUAUAGCUCUUUUAUGGGAAUUGUAAGCUUUGUUAGAGUCACGUCAUUUUGUGUCCCUUUACUGAGCCAUUCCUCUCCAUUCCUCUAUACUUUUUGCUUCUUAUAGGAGUUAUUAUUGUACGUUAUCAAGAAUUGUACGUGUAAUAUACUGUUUAACCUUGCAACUUCUGUCCACUACGGUAAUUGGAGUAAUAAUUUUGGGAGUAUAUCUACGAAAGAAUCUUUUCUAGAAAUAUAAAUAAUUCAUGAGAAUAAGAUCUUACUGAGUAAAGUUAAUUGAACAUAUUAAUAGAAAACAAAGUAGAGUGUGAUAUUAGCAUUCCACCUUAAAAACUUGUUUUAUUUUUUUGUAGCUUAUCGUUUUUGAUCUUAAGCAAAAUGCAUACAUGCAAUGGUAGAGAGACAAGAUACUGAUAGUCCAAUCUACCUGUAUAUGUGAUAAACUCAAGUCUUUCUUCAGACUAUGAUCAGAUCUUUACCACUCUGUGGAUUGUAAACAUUUCCGCUAUGCACUUAUGUUUACAAGAUCAUAACAAGUCAAAUCGGCAGCUACUAUACAUUAAAAAUUAGGAUGAGCAGAAGACAGAAUGUAGGCUUUAAAAAUAAAUGGACUUGGGAGCUAUAUUAAAAUCA